rnacentral:rRNA from 1 species
AAUCUUCCGCAAUGGACGAAAGUCUGACGGAGCAACGCAGCGUGAGUGAUGAAGGUUUUCGGAUCGUAAAACUCUGUUGUCAGGGAAGAACAAGUAUCCGAGUAACUCCCGGUACCUUGACGGUACCUGACCAGAAAGCCACGCGUAAUUACGUGCCAGUAGCCGCCGUAAUACGUAGGUGGCAAGCGUUGUCCGGAAUUUUUGGGCGUAAAGCGCGCGCAGGCGGUCUUUUAAGUCAGAUGUGAAAGACCCCGGCUCAACCGGAGAGGGUCAUUGGAAACUGGGAGACUUGAGUGCAGAAGAGAAGAGUGGAAUUCCACGUGUAGCGGUGAAAUGCGUAGAGAUGUGGAGGAACACCAGUGGCGAAGGCGACUCUUUGGUCUGUAACUGACGCUGAGGCGCGAAAGCGUGGGGAGCGAACA